UCGGCUAUGUUCGUUCCCCUUUAAGAAAGCAGUCAGUGUACUUACGUAUGAAGUCACGUGGUUAUCAGGAAGUCAAACAAACAGAAGCCCGGUAGGCUAACACUACAAGCAAACGUGAUGGAGUGCGGCUUAAGGGAGCUUCACCAAACUUUCACCCGACAUUAACUAGACUCUUGGUGGCAUCCAGAUGGGCUUACACCUGCUGUCCUCCCUGGUUUUCACGAUUUCAGGUUUCUCCAAUGAGGAUACCCCAUGACCAAAAACAAGUGAACGGUAAGGCGGGCUAUGAACUUGAGUACUUACACUUUAGCAAUACGAUAAUACCAUUAUGUCUUGUGGUUGGGAUGAAAAUGUAUUUUAAUUUAACAUUAACAUGGCAUGUUUUAUUCUAGGAAAAAAAAAGUUACUCUUUUGAACAACUGCACAGUCUUCCUCUGGACUCCAUCUUGCAAAGUAAUAUUCACAUGAAAUCUUAUUGAGUCCCUUUAUUAAUGAUGUUAUGGAGCCAUUCAGGCCGAAAAUGGAAUUUCUUGCCUGUUUCCGAGACUGUUUCCUCACAAUAAUUUCCCUCAACCAGGACACACAAUCAUUUUGACCAGUCUAAUCUAUGAAAUAGUGUAUGUGUGGGUGGUGGGGGGGAGCUGGAAUUCUAUGAUAGGUCUACUUUUAUUAUUAUUGUUAUUACAUACAGUGUAUUUAUUUAUUUUUUAACAUAAUUUGGAGAACUUCGGCAGAGCGAAUUAAAAAGGCUCUAUUGCCCUCUGGCCAUAGUUUGCCCAACUCUAACCCAUCAAAGGACAACACUGACAUUCAUUCUAAAGAGAAACUGAAACAGCUCAGGAAACAUGAGAAGACAGCCUAUUUGGAACAUAAGGGAUGCUCACCCUUCAAGCCGGACAUCGGGUAAUGAACGAUUCAGUGCAAUCAUCUCAGAGGCCAUAAGGUUGAACUGGUUGAUCUUAAACAUCUCCUUCAUCUUUUCCUGGUUCUCCUUUGGGAUCACCACAGGCUUGCCUCCCUCCCCCGGCCCGUCCCGCGGCCUUGCCAGAGGGUCUGUGGUGAAGAUUUAAAAAGUCAGUUUGUCCGUUGCUGACGUACAAUGUACACACGAAUACUUACCAUCUCUAUCAGGCAGUCCUCUUUCCUUCUUGUCGUCACACUUGUUGCACUCACUGAAGUAGAGCAGAAUGAACAUGUCCAACAUUACCCACACCAGAGAGGUGGCCAGAACCACUUUGCAGUAUGCGAACCUCCGCAUCCUGAAAAUCACCUGAAAUAAGAGAUGUAAAAAGAGAAGCGGUUAACAAUGAAGGAAGUGUGCGAGCACAUAGAUAUAGACACUUAUCUUUUCCAAUGUGGGCACAUUUCUUACUCAUUCCCCUGAAUUGGCAAGCUCCCCUGCAUUUCCUUUUGUAAACACAACCCUCUGUUAUUCUGUCAGUCUAUUUGAGUUGCCUCAUAUCUGUAGCCGGGCUAAUGACAUCUUCAGAAAAUCUCUAAAAGCGAUCUUGAGCAUCAUCAAGUUGGUUUCAGUUUCAAAAAUAUGAAUGUAGUGGAGAAAUGACGUUUAAAUCUGCUGAAUGAGCAACAAUUCAGAGUUUUGCAGACAAUGGCAGUUUAUCUGCCAGGUACAGUCCAUAUAUGGCAAUUUGGCAAUUUGCCCCAUCCUCCCACUCAAGUGGGCUUGUUGGGUAGUAUAAGCCCUUUGUGCCAUUGUUUAACCACAAAAAAAUGACUAAACAGUGCUGUGAGCAUUAAUGUCGGUGCACAUUGAGACUCUGCUCAUAAUUUUUCAGCACCAUUGGAAAAAACACAUGAAUAACAAUGCUUUGUUUCAAUGUUGCCCUAGUACCCCUUCGAGAAAUAGAAAUGAAUCAUAACUAGAGGAGCAGGACUCCACCUGAGCAGGCAAAUUCUAAGAUGUAUUUGGCAUAUUUGGAGAGUGAGCUUUUUGCCUUCAUGCCUCAAAUUUUCACAAUUCUUUGUCUUCACAACAUAUCUCUUAAUUAAUUUACAAAUAUUCAGGUAAACAGACUAUUCCGUUAUCAAGUGAUCGCAAAAUUCACUUUCUGACCUCUGUGACCUUUGACCUCAUGACACCAAAAUGUAAUCACCUCUUCCGUUUCUUAUUACAAACAUAUCCUACAACUUUAAUAAUAAUAAUCCCUUAAUUGGUUCUUGAAUUAUAGUUAGCGUAUCGUAACUUUGCUAACUUAAUUUGACCCAUUUUGAAACCAAUUUAGAAUUGAACAUGAUUAAAAAAAAAGCGAGGCACUCAGGAAGUAGAAAUAUAAAAAGCCUUUAUUAAAUCAUGGCUUUGUUCAGAUUAAAAAUGCCGUGUUUCGGCCGUGUUCCUGAGUGCCUCAGUUUUUUUGAAUAAUCACUUUUUUGAUUCCCACACCGAAGAGCACCAGAAGUAUACUUUCUACAACCAGCAGCACUCCAUGCACAUCAUAAUAUACUAAAAUUGAACAUUUCUAAAAAUUGUACAUCAUACAUUAUACCCGUAAAUUAAAUGUUACUCCAUUUGAGCUCAGUAACGGUUGAAGUCAUUCUUGGAUUUUUACUGACAUUCUGUCACUGAGGUGCAGAUGUUCACAGACAAAAUUUAAAACACUGAUAUUAUGGUGGAAAAUGUAUUUAAUGACUCAGGUAUCCACGGUAACAGUUCCUUUUAAAAUCAAGGCAGACAGAGUUUUGUUUUACUUUAAAUUCCACUUGUACAAUUUAAGAGCUAGUGAAGCUUCUUUGCUUAAUCCACCAUUCACAAAGGAUAGGAUAGAGAACUCAGAUAUUGUAUUUGCCUUUACAGCAUAAUCCAUAAAAACAAGAGUGUGCUCAUCAAGAGCGAAUUAUAAUCUGCCAAAGAACACCAAUAAUCCAAUAAGCAAUCCAAUCUAUACUUUUCUUUAAUAAUGGUAAAUGGUGUUAUACUUAUAAAUCGCUUUUCCACCUUUCAAGGCGCUCAAAGCGCUUUACACUAUCUCACUAUUCACCUACUGGUGACGCAGCACCAGGAGCAACAUGGGGUUCAGUAUCUUGCUCAAGGAUACUUGAAGAAUCAAACCCACAACCUCUGGGUUGGGGGACAACUACUCUACCACUGAGCCACGCCACCCCGCCCAUAAUAAUAAAAAAUUGAAAAAUAAAAACGGCAGCUACACCUUGUGUAUUGGAAUUAAUAUUUUAUACUUCAUAGCAGUAGUUUUUAACCUUACCAAAAGUACCAAGCUCCAGCUCUCAUGUGCAUUCAGCGUACCCUAAUUAGACAAAAAAAUCAAUUUGUGCACAUUCAAAACAGGUAUACACAUUUUUCACUGUUAAUGGGGACCAGAACCCCUCGCGAACAGUGAAAAACAGCAAAGUAGGAUUUAGACUCAUCUAAAUUUGGACGGAAUACAAAAAUGGGUCCCUGUGUGUGUCUUAUCCUUCGCCGAACCCCUUAGACUUACUCACCAGACCCCUAGGGUUUGAUCGAACCCAGAUUGAGAAACACCAGGAACUAAACAAUUCUUUAGAUCAGGGGAUCUCCAAACUAUUCCACAUCGGGCUACAGUGGGUACACGAUUUCAUUUCAACCAAACAAAAUGACAUAUUUUCACCAAUCUGGUGUCUUCCAAGUGUAAUCAUUUGAUAUGCAGUCAAGUGAUGCUUGUUUAGGCAGAAACCACAUUGGUUAAACUGUAUAUGCUGGAUAGGCUUGAACAAAAACCGAGACCCACAGCGGCAGUGGUUUUGAGAACCCUGCUUUAGAUAUAUGGAGGGUGAAAGAGAUCUCCAUCAUACUUCCUAAAUAACCUGCAGAGAUUAUGGCAGGCCGAUUAUCGGCGCCAAUAUUUUACAGAUAUUGUUCCUGGCCCGUUUUUAAAUCCGACCGGCCAGUAUGAAAUAAUCAAUCAAUUAUUUCUAGAGGUGGGAAUCUUUGGGGACCUAACGAUUCGAUUCCGAUUAAGAGGCUACGAUUCGAUAAUAAAUCAAAUAUUGAGGACCCUCCCCCCCAGCUAUUAGCAGCUUUUAAUGUUUUGUACAUUACUUUCAGGCUUAAAUAAACGACAAUUUCAGUAUCAAGAUAACAGUUCAAAACAGUAAAUAAAAUACAUUAAAAAUAUAAUAAAAAGUCCCCAUUCUGUACCACCAGCUUUGAAUUACAUUCAAUUAAUUUAAUGUUGUGAGCUAAAAUUGCUCCCGUUGUUCCAUAUUUUACCUUCUGUCUACUUUUGACAUGUGAAUGUUUUAAAACUGUUUUAAGGAUCGAUUCAAGUCAUGAUUUUGCCAAUUUAGGAGUAUUUUAGAUAAAAAAGUUAAUUAGGUUCGCUUGGAAGGUUCGCUACAACAGCCUUCCAGGGAAGUCUACUGCUUUAAGAUGACGGCUGUUUACUAAACCCGGCAAGUCUGUCAUUUCGCAUCUAGUUUUCUAUACACAUGCUGCUAACGCCGCAGAGUCUGUCAUUUCGCAUCUAGUUCUCUAUACAUGUGAUAUCUACCAUAGCAUUAUGUGGACGUAGUUUUUAGCGGCUGUCGGCAGCAGUCAGGCAUUAUCAGGGUCCCCCCAGGAUUGAUAAAUCUAAAUUCAAGACUUUUAUGACCUUUUUCAAUGCCAUUUCAACUGAAAUCUCGCUGACGAGAACCAAUCAUCGGCCCAAGCUGCGUUCCGUUAUUCCAAACGCGCGCACUCCUUACGUUAACAUUGAGUGCUCGGAGAGCCUUUGGUUGCAUUGCAAAGCUGCGAAAACAAAAAGCACGCCUUAUCCACACCCGGGGCAGACCAGAGCGCAGCAUACACACUUGCCUGUAUUUGCCAGCAGAUUGAAUUUGGUGAGUAAUGGUUUCAAUCGUUUUCACAUUUUGCGAUAUAAAAAAGUUACUGCCAUUCGUUGCAGCUUGCGUUGAACACUGCCAGAGCUCGCCAAAUCUCCCAUGAAAAAAAAUAGCUCCCGUUAAAUUGGCGUCAAGCUUGUGUAUUUAGCGGUAAUAUAAACGAAGAAACACAUUGUUGAGUCAAAUUAAGCGGCAUGCUCUCGGAUGGAGGGGGGCGCCUCGUAUCGCUCCCGUCGUCCACCUGAGACGCGUUAUUUUCGGCUGGGACUGGAGCUGACGGCCGGUGUCGGCACAACACCGGCCCGACGAGUGGUGGGAAUGACUCUUGCUUCUUAAAGCUUUUCAGAAAUACAGGGAUCCCUCGUUUUUCGCGGUUAAUGGGGACCAGAACCCGCCGCAAUAAGUGAAAACCGCGAAGUACCCCCCCCCCCCCCCCCCCAUUUUUUAAAUGCGUGUUCAAUGUAUUUAUUCAGAUUUUACAUUGGAAAAAAAAUACAUAUAUAUAAGACAUGUUUUUUCACUUUUUUCACCAAAGUAUCAUUUAUAAAUGGUUUUCAAGCACUUCAAAAUGUAAGAAUUAUGAUAAGUUUUAAACAUGUUACUGCCCCACCGAAUUAUUUUUUAAACAAGAAUAAAGUAGUAAGAAAAUGCUUGGCUUUAUUAAAUGCUUCAUAGUGAGUCUACUCAAACCCUUUCAGGCUUUGUUAAACGGUGAUUGACACAUGUGCAAAGUUUUUCUUUUUAUAUAUAUUUUUUUGUUUGAAGCGACUUAUUUGAUUGAAUAAUAAAGACACAAAUGUCCUAGCCAAAAUGUGGCCCAAAUGCAAAACAACAUUACUUCAAUGGAAAAAUUUGUUUCAAUCAAGAAAAAGUUUUCAAAGUUUUUUUGUCUCAAAUUUAUUUUUGCAAUCAAAAACUAUUUUUUUUAUUGAAGUGAUUUUUUUGGGAUUAAAGGUAUAUACUGUAUUUUGAUUGAAGCAACUUUGUUUUUGAUAGAAGUAACUUUGUUUUUUGAUUGAAUAAUAAAAACACAAAUCUACCACCAUCGUUAUUGAGAGAAAGAAAUUAAGAAAGCUUUAAAACUAAAAGCCACCGGGGAGUCUGCUUUUUUUUUUUUUUUUUAAUAUUUAUAUUUCAUUACAUAGACAUGCCUCGUAGGGAAAGGAGAUUGAGGGAUAAAAAAAGGAGUUGGAUGAGGCUGCUAAAGGCAGUGGAUACCUCAUCAGCUGGGUGAAUAGCAGACCUGGUAAGAACAAGUUUGCAAGGAUAGUCGGGUAUUAAAUACAAUUAUAAACACAAUUACAAUGUUAUUUUUCUAUAAGAUUUUAUGUCAUUGCUUUACUAAUCAUUAGGUGCUAGAGUUGUUAAGUAUGGAUAAUAAUGAAAUAACAGUUUUGAGAAAACUGUGCUGUUGGUGGCUCAGUGACCAUCUGAUGUGGUUUGUUCUCAGAUGAACAAGUUGAGGAAGGAAGUUUUGAUGCAGAGGUUGAAGGAAGAAAAGAGGCAGACUGACUGAGUCACAGCCAGAAAGUGUUGAUGACAGUUUUGAUUUCUAUUCACUGUUGCCCCCUCCCAAUUAAAGUAUGUCACAGUCGCAGCCAAUUAUUAUCUAAAGCUGGUUAAAAUUGAAGUUAUGUUCUUUUAAGGUGUAUUAAAUACUUGUUCAUGUGCUUCUUUUGAUCUACGAGCACCUGCCCCUCCAUAGGUCUCUGCACGGCCCUGCUGAAACACAGUGUGGGUCGACAGAGCUCAAUAUUUUGUUGGGGUGUACAGUGUACUGGAACAUAUUUCCUCCACACCCUUCUCACCUUUCACAUUUUCAUGCCUGGCUAUGAGAGUAUGAGUCUGGCCACCAUUCAGCAGAAAAAAAUUUCCAGGGCGGAGCCAGCCACAACAAAUAGACAGCGGAGCGGACCAAUCAGCGACGGGCUGACGCGAUGUCGGUAAAGCGACAAGAAACUAGCGAGAGACAUUUCAACAUAUUCAACAUGGCUCGCGCGAGACAGACUGUUGGUUUUAGCGACUCGAUGUGUUUUUGGUCAUGUAAAACCGAAUUUACCGCGGAUUGGAACAUAUUGCCGCUGAGUCUGGUGUACCAGGCUACGGGACUACUGUCUGUUGCAUUCUGCUGCAUUUGGCGCGAUCCGGCGACACCGCAUACAGCAAUUUAUAUUACAUUCAGUGGUCUCAAAAUGCCCUAAAGAGAUGCACCAGGCUUGAAAAUGUACACACACACCCGACCCCGAGGGUCAGAGACCCUCCCACCACAAUCUCCUAAAAUCCUGUGGGAAACACUGUUCUGAAAUAACUAUAUAUUAACGAUGUAUGAAUGAUAAACUAAGGAAUACUUGUUAUAAAAUAAAAAAUUGAUUAAAAAAAAAAAAAAAGGCGCUGUAUGGUAAUUGCAGAGACAGAGCGUGCCUAUACGCCCCUUUUAAUCUUCCCCUCUGCGAGUCCGCAAAACCGCAUGUGUUUAUUUAUAUUUAACAAACCUUUCCAGCGUUAUUUCGUUGUGCAAAUAAAUUUAUAAUGAUCAUAAAAGUAUGUAGUCUAUUUAAACAUUAAGAAAAUGUGCGUUUUUUUUCUGCCAACUGAGAAUUCGUUAUAAAAGACAGGCUUUUAUGCAGACAUCGUCACAAAUGUUAUCACACAAAAGGCGGGUCGGGCUUUAAUACCCACGGACCAGUUCGGUUCAGGCUGGACUUUUUAGGCCAGAUUUUACCUCUAUCUUAAAGUCUUGAUGAGCUUAAAAUGGCUGCAGUUAUGAAGUUGGUAAUGCUCCCUCCGGAAAAAAAAACACGAUUUGACCAACAUUAUGUUUAACAAACUUUUCCAGCUUUAUUUCAUUGUGUAAAUGCAUUUAUAAUGGUCAUAAAAACAUGUAGACUAUUUAAACAUUAAGAAAAUGUGCGUUUUUUUUCUGCCAACUAAAAAUUCGUUACAUACGACAGUUAAGACAUCGGGAAUGCUCCCUCUGGGAACAAAACGCAAUAUGACCAAAAUUGUGACAGCCGAUGCAGACCAAAAAUGACGUAAUAUCCGAAACAGAUCACCAAUGGACUCAUUUGAAUGGUGGUCUGUUUUGGUGUACAGAAUCUACAAUACUUCUGCCUGCAGGGUUUUCGUUCCACCGACAAACAGACGCAUUCCCGAUGCAGAGGUGGAUGGAUUCUCCCUUUUGCCAGUUGUGGUGGUUUGGGACGCACGAGUUGCAUUUCGAUUUGUAGUGCAGUGCAUCGUAAAAAUUCUAUGCGUCAUCUUCGUUAUGGAUUAAAAAAAAAAAAAAAAACUUUGUCACGGAUAUAAUUUAGGUUGCACUGAGAUGUUCUUGAAAAUUAAAACCACCAUGAAAAAAUUCCAGACUUACAACAGCUAAUUUAAUACUUUUAAUACCUUUAAUAAUGGAAAACUAAAUUCAAUGCUUUUUUAAUACUUUUAAUAACCCGCGGGUACCAUGAUUAUUGUUUUUUUAUCUAGUGGCAUGAGUUGAGCCAGAGCCGUGAGUUGAGCAUUGUCUUUACCCGGGUAAUGACAAGCAUGAUAUUUACUCUCGGUCCGUUCCUCAUUGCGUCCCGAAGACCACGCUGACUGUGUUUUAGUUCUGCUAUACUUGACAUAUUUCAAUUAUCCGAAUUUGGAUGUUUGUGAAUCGUUGUCGAAUCUUCCACAGCCGAGUCGCGAAUAAUCUAAGAAUCGGAAAUUUCGCACACCUCUAGUUAUUUCGGCUCGGAUGCAGCCGCCCCUCUCUCUUGCCUGCUGUCUCUUGCACUCUUGCACUCCUCUGGUUGGUUGAUUUGUAAUGGUAAAUCGAGUUACACUUGUAUUGUGCCUUUCCACCUUUUUAAGGCCCUCAAAGCGCUUCACACUAUAUCCUCAUCUACCAACUGGUGACGCAGCAACGUGGAGUUUAGUAUCUUGCUCAAGGAUACUUAGACAAUGUCAUCAGGGCAGAGAAUCGAACCCACAACCUCUGAGUUGGGGAACGACUACUCUACCACUGAACCACGCAACCCCCCCAAGCGGCAGAGGCAUUCAAUAAGCCACUUUUAGGCAUUUCAAUGAAGUUCAGUGUUUGCAUUAUUAAUUUUUUUUACGCCAAUGUUAACACUUUUAGUGCAAAUGAAUAUCAAAAUCGGUUAUAGGCCCCUCUAACUACUAGCGGUCCCGAAAACCCCAUAUCUGUCGAUAAACCAAUUUGCAAUUUGUAGAAGCAACACAGAAAAUGUCUGUGUGCACGAUUGUGCUUUAGUACACACAAACAUUUACGCACCAAUAACAUAACAUACAGACUCUGAGAGCGGCGCGAAAGAAGCUGUGGCAGUAAUUGCUUUUCUUUGGCAGGCAGUGACAGACAGAGUCACAUUAAAAUUCCUGUGCUCUCUUUUCCGCCUCUCCUACAGCACCAUCUCUUCCACUCUGACUGACUCGUUGCUUCACUCAUCCCUUAGGUUACAGCAGCAAGAGCAGAAGGAAGAAAAAUAAUUUGGGCAUGGUGAUUUCUCACUCGUCCCUGGGAGACAAAAAAGUGUUUGUGCAUAGCCAACUUGGCUGCAGUCUCCUGUAGUUUAGCUUGGGAGGAUGUAGAACUGCAGCGCAGCGUUUCUAAAUUCCACCUGAUAGGAUUGCGGUGCCACAAAGUGCCAUGCAAAGCAAAACGAUAGAGUGAAGAUUUGCUUGGUCUCCCGACAGAGCAAAAGACUGUGUUGCCAGUGAAGCAGUUUUCCAAGGUUAAAACAAAAUGUUCCACAUGCUGUAUAUCACAGGUUAUCAUAGCUAAUGUACCCAAGAUUUUUCACAAUUAAAAUUUCUGAUUAAAAAAAACAAAACAAAACAAAAAAAAAACAUUCAGAUUGGGUUAGAAUCAGCGUGGAGUGUUUGUGUGGUUAUACAUUUGAAAAAAGGUUCAAGGCGUAUUUUCAAAAACGUUUAGGUUACAUUUUUAAACAUUAUUAUGCAGGUUGAGAAGGCCGUGUGGAGUUUGGCACCCCCUGUGUUGUGUCUCUUUGUGUUUAGUGUGACGCAGCUUGGGUCUUAUCCUCAAAUUAGAAAACGCCUUGAAAGCAGUGUUUAAUGAUUCAGACUUUGUUCAAGGAGAAAGGUUAAAAUUUGUCUGGGGUGAGGCUAAGGUUACUAGUAUGAAAUAAUUGGGCCUUAUUUACAGCGCGACAACCCCUGGCAAACUGAAGUCGUUUUAAAUGUUAAUUUUCUCGUUUUAAGAAACCGUUUUAAUAAACACUAAAACAAAUCGUGAGAAUAAAACGUGGUAGUUCGUAAAAGUUUUUUUUUUUUUUUUUAGACUUAGCCGAGGGGGAAAAAUUAAGGAAUCACUCAAUUUUGAGGAAUGAAUUAUGGAAUCAAACUUCUUUAAGAAGGUAAAUCAUCACACAUUGUUGAAAAAGAUGUUGGUUUUUCACAGUAAGCCGUCUCUAAAAUCUGUACCAAGGACAAACAACAUGGGAAGGUUGUUAAAGACAAGCAUACUGAUAGACCAAGGAAGACAUCAAAGUGACAAUAUCCUUAAUAAUGUUCCGGAAAAUUGCAGAUGUUUUUGAAAUCCAGCGUCAUGUUGUUAAGUACUGAAAGUCACAAUGUAAUAUUACAGCAUUUUAAUUUGUACAUGAAACUUUAAAGUUUGAAAGCCAACUGAGACAUUGCAAUCGCAAGAGAUGAGUCUUUUACCCAAAGGAUGGCGGUGUCGCCUCCACAAUCAGGUCGCAUUUUCUAUGCUAAUUUUUGAAGUUUUGAAUUCAUUUUCUGCACUAAAUGGAGGCCUACAGAGAUCAAACCAAUCUAAGAACACUCCCAGACACAAAGUACAACUGUGUAAAAUUUCCUCAAAAUCUGCCCAGCAUUUUCAGAGUCCAUAGGUAACGAACACACACACCCAGACAUAGUUCCAUUUAUAUACAAGUGUAAGUAUAUAUGUAGAUCUCAAUCCAUUUGAAAAUCUGUGGUGGUUGAUGAAAAAAAUGGUCCAUGAUAAGGUUCCAAUCUGCAAAGCUGAUCUGGCAAAGACAAUCAGAGAAAGUUGGAUCCAGAUUGAAGAAGAGUACUGUUUGUCACUCAUUUGGUCCAUGCCUCUGAAACUGCAAGCUGUUAUAAAUGCCAGAGGUGGUGCUACAAAGUACAAGUGGUGUGUUAAGUGUCUUUUUGUUGUUGUUUUUUCAUGAUUCCAUAUUUCUUUGCCUCAGAAUUAAGUGACAGCCACAUCCUUUUUAAAAAAUUUAUUUUAAGUGCUCCUAAAGCCAGACAGUUGCAAUUCAAAAUGACUUUAGUUUUGUGUCAUAGCUGUUAUCCGCUUUUUUCCCCCUACAAAUUUAAACAAAUGCAAUAACAUCCUCCGAAACUGGUGAUUCCAUCAUUUUUGUUAGGAGUUGUAUUUUGGUCAGGGAUUCCCCUAAACUGUGUAAAGAAGCUAGGACAAAUACUGUAUAAAAGAACUACAAAUAAAUCUUAACAGUACCAAUGGCCCAAAGCUUGCACGAAUACAACAUCCUGAGUCCUGGUUGGUCAAUUAAUAUUUCAAACCAAGUAGGGCAUUUAGAGUCCCAAAAUGAAGUUUUUUUCUUAUUUUUAUUUUUUUUAAGCCAUUGUGUCAUCUAAACCAGGGGUCACAAACCACCGGUCCGCGGACCGGAGUCACUCGAUACCGGUCCACAAGAGAAAUAAAUAAAUAUUUCAGUUAAACCUCUCACACACAAGACUCCAUCGACGCUCUAGUAUGGAAAUCAGGAGCCUGCAUCUUGGCGCUCGUCAUACAAAAAAUAUGGCAGCACACUGUGAUUACGUUUCAGAGACAAUUUUUUGUUUCAGAGUGAUGCCAACGGCGCUUGGUGUGCGAUAAACAGCGGCAUCGGCUCUCGGGUACACUGUGCGGAGGGCGCAAUGUGCGUUUCAUGCAUAAAGACUUUUUCAGACGAGUGGUAGUAGUGUGCAGCUUGCAGCAUGGAAACCCAUUCCUUAUUUACAGUGUAUUACAAAAGUGAGUACACCCCUUGCAUUUCUGCAUAUAUUUAAGUAUAUAUUUUCAGGGGACAACACUGACAAAAUGACUCUUUGACACAAUGAAAAGUAGUCUGUGUGCAAUUCAUAUAAUAAGCUUAAUUCAUUUUCCCCUCAAAAUAACUCAAAAUAUAGCCAUUCAUAUCUAAACCCCUGGCAACAAAACACAAGUACACUUAGUGAAAGUUGUCAAUAUGUCAACAACAACACGUAAAACAUACACAACAUGUCAACUGUCAAUAUUUUGUGUGGCCACCACUAUUAUCCAGAACUGCCUUUACUCUCAUGGACAUGGAGUUGACCAGAGCUUCACAGGUUGCCACUGGAAUGCUCUUCCACUCCUCCGUGACGACGUCAUGGAGCUGCUGGUUAUUUGAGACUUUGCUUGAGGAUCCCCCAAAGAUGUUCUGUUGGGUUCAAGUCUGGAGACAUGUUUGGCCAGUCCAUCACCUUUACCCUCGGCCGCUUCAGUAAAUCAGUGGUCAUCUUGAAGGUGUGUUUGGGGUCAUUGUCAUGCUGUCACUGCUCUGCGACCCGGUUUCUGGAGGGAGGGGAUCAUGCUCUGCUGCAGUAUUUCACAGUACAUGUUGGAGCUCAUGUUUCCCUCAAUGGAACUUAACUCUCCAACACCUGCAGCACUCAUGCAGCCCCAGACCAUGACAUUCCCACCACCAUGCUUGACUGUAGGCAUGACACACUUAUCUUUGUACUCCUCACCUGGUCGCCGCCACACAUGCUUGAGACCAUCGGAACCAAACAAAUUAAUCAUCGUCUCAUCAGACCAUAGAACAUGGUUCAAGUAAUCCAUGUGCUUUGUUGACGUGUCUUCAGCAAACUGUUUGUGGGCUUUCUUGUGUACCGUCUUCAGAAGAGGCUUCCUCCUGAGGUGACAGCCAUGCACACCAAUUUGAUGUAGAGUGCGGCGUAUGGUCUGAGCACUAACAGGCUGACCCCCCACCUCUUCAAUCUCUGCAGCAAUGCUGACAGCACUCCUGCGACGAUCUUUCAAAGAAAGCAUUUGGAUGUGACGCUCAGCACGUGGGCUCAGCUUCUUUGGACGACCAACCCGAGGCCUGUUCUGAGUGGACCCUGCUCUUUUAAAACGCUGUAUGAUCUUAGUCACUGUGCUGCAGCUCAGUUUCAGGGUGUUGGCAGUCUUCUUGUAGCCUUGGCCAUCUUCAUGUAGCGCAACAAUCUGUCUUUUAAGAUCCUUAGAGGGUUCUUUGCCAUGUGGUGCCAUGUUGGAACUUUCAGUGACCAGUAUGAUAGUGUAGGAGCUGCAUUACACAUUUGAACACACCUGCUCCCUUUGCACACCUGGACCUAGUAACACUAACAAGUCACAUGACAUUUUGUAGGGAAAAUGACAAUCAGUAUUCAAUUUGGACAUUUAGGGAUGUAGUUUCUAAGGGGCAUACUCACUUUUGUUGCCAGGUGUUGUUGUUUGGAUAUUAAUGGCUAUAUUUUGAGUUAUUUUGAGGGGAAAAUAAAUUAUAUUAUUAUACAGUGGUACCUCUACAUACGAAGUUAAUCCGUUCCAGGAGCUUGUUUGUAAGUCGAAAUGGUCGUAUGUCGAGCAGGAUUUUCCCAUAGGAAUACAUUAUAAUUCCAUUAAUUCGUUCCACAGCCCAAAAACCUGCACUAAAUCCUUAAAAAAUACUGCUGGUACUAUUACAAAUGGCAAUUACAUAUAGCAAAACAAAUAAAUAAUAAAUAAAAAUCGGAUUAAUAAUAUAAUAAUAAUUCCUGUAAUAGUGUAACGAAACGGGCUCUAAUAAGGCGGACGUUUUUUUCUGUACCUGAAGGCACCGCGGCGCUGACGUGACAAAGAGGGAGGGGAGCGGGUGAAAGUUUACUUUCGCUUUCAAUGCUUUCUUGAGAACAUCGUCAAUUGCGGCAGACAGCAGGCGUUUUGUGUUGAAUAAGUUGUGAAAGAAAUGAUGAAAACGUGGCGAAGCUGGCGAUUUCUCUGGAGAUGUUACCACAAUAAGAAUUGUCAGCUUAACUUAUAAAGACUGGCGAACGAUGGUCGGAGGAGGACCGUGGAGAUGUAUUGUUGAGCCAUUUCACAGAUGCCCACCCUACGCUCAUAUUUUUCUGUCAUUUGCAUCUUCAUUUAGAAGGUAAGCGUCAACUUUUUCCUUGUUUCACCACCUGUACCAACCUUUUCUGAAACCUGUGUUGAUUUGUCACACAAGAAAAUCCGCCAUGCAUUCGUCUGCGGUGCUGCCAUUGUCGUCGUAUUUCGAGCAUGUCGUCGGAUGUAGAAACAAAUGGCGAGUCAAAUUUUACGUCGGAUGUCGAAAAGUUCGUGUGUCGAAGCGAUCGUAUGUAGAGGUACCACUGUACUACUAUAUUACUAUACUAUUAUAUAAGCUGCACACAGACUACUUUUCAUUGUGUCUAAGUGUCAUUUUGUCAGUGUUGUCCCAUGAAAAGAUAUACUUAAAUAUCUGCAGAAAUGCGAGGGGUGUACUCACUUUUCUGAUACACUAUUUUUGUCGGACUGUUCCCUCAAUAAGCUUUCAUGAGGUUUCUAGAGCGUUGGUACCUUUGAAUAGUGGAUGUCAACCACGUUCUCACUGAAACUUGUAUAGCCAUUUAAAUCGCGGCCUCCUAUUUGAAAUAAUAAAAGUCGUAGCUUUCAAGCUUGUGACUGUUUUGUUUGAAGUCGUAUUGCACUUUGACACCCCCCACCCCAAAUAAUAAAAGUCAAGGCUUUCUUGCGCAACGAUUGAAAAAAAUUAAGGGAUGAUGAAGGAAAAUGUAGGGAACAAUAGGGGCCACUCAUCUAAACAGACGGUAUGGGACCAUCGUUACCUUCAGCCAGCAGCUAGAAGUGACCGAAUCAGAUCUUUGGCUACGUUCAUACUACAGGUCAUAAUGCACGAAUCCUAUUUUUUCGUGUUUUUCCGACUCGAGUGAGGCAUUAACUUGACGGUCUGAACGUGACAAGUCGCAUAGAACUGGACCAUUUCGUUCAAAUCCGAUCUGGGUCACAUUUUUCCAGACUGUCGCGGCGGUCUGUACUGUCCAGUCUCUCAAAUCGGAAUUCAUGCAGCAAUUACGUCAUCAAAAAGCGAGAGAGACGCCACAGUAGCGGUGCAGCUGUGCGUUAUUAGUGCCUAGCUUGCCUUGAACACGGCUUUUUAGGAAGAGUCGGACUUGACAAUAGUCAUAAAAAAAAUAAAAAUGGGUUGAGGAUAAGCCUGAGAAUGAUCGGUUUUCUGUCUGGUCCAUAUAAGCAAUAUUUCAACAUUGCUUACAUGGCCGAGAGUCGGGGCAAACUGCGCGUAUGUGUGUAUAACAUGCAGGGACAGUGAGUGCAUGCUAUCGAUCCAUAUACUUUGAAUAUAAAACUAAACUGGGAUUAUUUAUGUCUGUUAUUAGAGUCCUCUUUUUAAAAAGCAAAAUAUGAUAUCCCUGGAAUGACGGAUGACACAGCCAGCAUGUGUGGUCAUUUAUUUUGAUGCUUCUGCGCAUGCGGGUCGUCUUGCUCAGCGCUUGUCGGGCUGCGAAUUAGUGUGCAUGCGUAAUACUUGAACGGUCUCAAUGGACAAAGUCAGUCUGAACGGGCACGCCAAAAAAACAGAUAUGACAAAAAAUCGGAUUCGUGCAUUAAGACCUGUCGUAUGAACGUAGCCUUUGUGCCUUAACUAUUAUAUAAGCUGCACACGGACUACUUUUCAUUGUGUCAAAGUGUCAUUUUGUCAGUGUUGUCCCAUGAAAAGAUAUACUUAAAUAUCUGCAGAAAUGCGAGGGGUGUACUCACUUUUGUGAUACACUAUUUUUGUCAGACUGUUCCCUCAAUAAGCUUUCAUGAGGUUUCUAGAGCGUUGGUACCUUUGAAUAGUGGCUGUCAACCACGUUCUCGCUGAAACUUGUAUAGCCAUUUAAAUCGCGGCCUCCUCUUUGAAAUAAUAAAAGUCGUAGCUUUCAUGCUUGUGACUUUGUUUUGUUCGCAGUCGUAUUGCUCUUUGACCCCCCACCCCAAAUAAUAAAAGUCAAGGCUUUCUUGCGCAAUGAUUGAAAAAAAUUAAGGGAUGAUGAAGGAAAAUGUAGGGAAAAAUAGGGGCCACCCAUCUAAACGGACGGUAUGGGACCAUCGUUACCUUCAGCCAGCAGCUAGAAGUGACCGAAUCAGAUCUUUGGCUACGUUCAUACUACAGGUCUUAAUGCACGAAUCCGAUUUUUUCGUGUUUUUCCGACUCGAGUGAGGCAUUAACUUGACGGUCUGAACGUGACAAGUUGGAUAGAACUGGACCAUUUUAAAUCCGAUCUGGGUCACUUUCGUAUGUGGUUCAAAUCCGAUCUGGGCCACAUUUUUGCAGACUGUCGCGGCGGUCUGUACUGUCCAGUCUCUCAAAUCGGAAUUCAUGCAGCAAUUAUGUCAUCAAAAAGCGAGAGAGACGCCACAGUAGCGGCGCAGCUGUGCGUUAUUAGCGCCUAGCUUGCCUUGAACAUGGCUUUUUAGGAAGAGUCGGACUUGACAACAGUCAUAAAAAAAAUAAAAAUGGGUGGAGGAUAAGCCUGAGAAUGAUCGGUUUUCUGUCUGGUCCAUAUAAGCAAUAUUUCAACAUUGCUUACACGGCCGGGAGUCUGGGCAAACUGCGCGUAUGUGUGUAUGACAUGCACGGACAGUGCGUGCAUGCUAUCGAUCCAUAUACUUUGAAUAUAAGCCUAAACUGGGAUUAUUUAUGUCUGUUAUUUGUGUCCUCUUUUUAAAAAGCAAAAUAUGAUAUCCCUGGAAUGAUGGAUGACACAGCCAGCAUGUGUGGUCAUUUAUUUUGAUGCUUCUGCGCAUGCGGGUCGUCUUGCUCAGUGCUUGUCGUACUGCUAAUUAGUGCGCAUGCGUAAUACUUGAAUGGUCUCAAUGGACAAAGGCAGUCUGAACGGGCACGCCAAAAAAACAGAUAUGACAAAAAAUCGGAUUCGUGCAUUAAGACCUGUAGUAUGAACCUAGCCUUUACGCCUUUAAUUGACUUGACUACGAUUCUUUAAUGACAGACUCACAAACUCUGAUACUUUCAAAUCAGAGCUAGGCCACUUCCAUAUGUGUUUUUUUAAUCUGACAUGGGUUCGAUUUUUGGGAAUGUGACUGCAAUCUGAAAAGUACGGUGACCCAAAAUCAGAAUUCUUGUUUGUGACAAGGACGUCAGUUUAUAUUGCUCAGGAACAGGUGAAAUAGAUGGAGGACAGAAUGAAUGGAGAUUAAAAAGUGUUACAGCUAAUAAGUGUUUGAGGGAGAUGAAACAAUUCAAAGGUGACUUGGGCAAUCCUAAUUAGUCCCUCAAGGAAAUAGCAGCAAAAAAGCUUUGAUUCUGUGGAGAACAACCCUGAUUCUGCUAAGAGCAAUUCUGAUUCCAUGGCUUGAAAGAUGUUUAAAAAACAACCCAAAUGACCAGUUAUGAAGCAAAUUAUUGCAAUAAUGAUGCAAAGGUUGUUAUGAAAUUAUUUUCAAUACAAAAAUACAGCCAAACAUUUUGGUUAUAAUUUAAUAAACAUAAUUAUUGUCUUAUCUCUCUUGGGCACUCUUGCAUUCUAGGCAUGAAUGUCACUUCAGGGCCAUUAUGUACAGAAACAACAAAAAAAAGAUUGGCUAUGGCAAAAAAAACAAACAAACAACAAAACAAAACAAAAAACAAAUUGUGCAUUGAGACCUGUUGUCUAAACGUAACAUCUGCGAGUGUAUGAUGUGUUGCAUUAGUAAUAGUGUGUCAAUUUCGUUAAUUUAGUCUCUUCCUUUCCUUUUUUAAAAGCUAGUCUUUCUGUGAUAUUAAACAGACACACACGUCUGCACUCUUCCUCCUCCACGAACACACCUUCUAUUUCCAUCUUUUAAAUCCCCAUCCUAGUCAUCUUCAUUUAUCUCUCUGCCUCACGCUUUAAGAAUGGUUGCCUUCGUUACUUGUCUACUAGUAUACAGUUUCCCCUUUAGCACCCUUCUCUGUCUCUUCCAAUCCAUUACUUUUCUCAUCUUAACCAUGCAUGGAUGUAACACAGUCAGAGGAUUCGCAGUGAUAUUCUCAUAUGAUUGCAAGAAAGGCAGUGAGUGCCCUUCAGUAGAUGCAAUAUUUAUAUGGGUAAAUGUAAUAGAACGAGCGAGAAAGAAAUUAUGUACUGUAUGUAUGGAUGAGCUACAAUGAGAGGGGAGCAUGAUUUGUACUGUGAUGUUAUAAACUGCCGACAUGUUGAAAUGACUAAAUAGUGCAAACCAGGUUGACAAGCUGUCCCAAGGUCUUUUGGGUUCCAUCAACUCAACAGCAUCCAAGACAACACAGAUGCAAGAUGUGAAUGAACUGUUGUAAAGCUUCAAUUAGAGAAGAACAAGGCACAGGCUACUAUUAACGAAGUGAAACAGAACAAAACGGCCCUGAGGUUUGUAUUUAACCACUGAUGUGGAGGAUCUUAUUAAUCCACAGAUGCUCGGGGAAAGUAUGAUAAUACAAUUUAUGGGUCAACAUAUAUAAUCACUGCCCAAUGAUAAUUUCGCAAAUCCACUAAAAAGUCAGUGUUACGGAUGGGGAGUAAUUUAUCCUUUUGUUCAGGUAUGUUUGUUUUCCCUUUAUUUUGUACUGGUUUAUGGUGGUUUUCACCUGUAUCUUUCCUUUGCAGUAUUCUCCACCUGUGUGAUUACAGAGGGCCCUCCACAGCUGGAGCCACUUCAUCAUUAGUUCAUCAUCCAAUCCUGUGUUCUUCCUUCGGUUAUAUAAGUUGAAUUGUUUGGCUUGUUCAGGAGAGGCGGUGGCAGCUCUCAAUUUGGUUGUCUUGGUUUGUUGAAGCCUGCUUUGACUUUGGUUCUGUUUGUGAAGUUUGCUUUCUGCCACUUUAUUAAUGAUCUCUUUUGUCUUUUUCUUUAGGUUGGCGCAGAGCACAGCGGUAGGGACUUUAGCUAUACACCUGCAGGUAUACAUCGUGUCUCCCACCUCACGUAGGUAACCCUCUGUAUUAGUCCAUUAAAUAGAGCGGCAACACGACCCAUGUAUUUUGGGGCACAAUAGGUGCCUGCCACGGUAGUUUGGGGGUUGUUUUGGGUUCUAGGUUUAGUUGCGGUUUUUGGAACUGUUUUUUUGGGUGUUUGCUGCAUAGUGCGGGGGCUUGGGUAAAUGUAAGUGUGCUCUGUGUCCAUUGUUUGUUUUCUGUUAAAUAAACUUUUCAAUUUGCAAUUUUGAUUUGUCACCGCCUCCUCCUUACACACCUACCGUCUUAUGUUACGCUCGCAGCCCCUGACCACCAUUGGUACUCGUAACAUUUGGGGGCUCGUCCGGGAGCUUUGUGGUUCCGCGGGGACGGUAGGUGUGUUGGUGUGCAGUGGCGGUCGGAUUGCGAGUUUUGUUUAUUUAACUUUUUGUUGUUUUUGUUGUUUUUGGUAAUUCCCUGCGCGCCCUGGUAGACAAUGGCCACGGGUUUUAGUGUUGGGGUUUUCUUGGCUGGUCCCGCGGUGGGUCAAUUGGACCAAUAUAGAAAAGCGGAUUUUUGUGCGAUCGGUGCGCAUUUUGGAGUUGAGCUUCCAAUGUCUAAUUCUUGGGCACAGCUGAAGGCGUCGGUCGUUGACUUGCUUGUCAGGGAGGGCGUGUCCAUUGAGGGGUUGAGGGUCAUUUGGAUUCUCAGGAGGAAAUUCCUCCCGUUUUUCAGGUUGAGGCGUGAGACUCCUCCCAUUAGCCGUAGGUCCUCUUUGGAUGGCGCCGGUUCGUCCCCUCGGUUAAGGGUUCGCUUAGCUCGCUUGAAGCUCGAGAGGGACCGUGAGCUCGAGUACAAACAUCAGCCAUGUAAAAAUUAGAACUUGAGGCUAGAAAUGCUGUCUGAUUGAAGGAAUUGGAAAUUAAAAGGCUUGAUGUAACGUUGGGGACUAAUUAGGUUGUAACUCUGGGUGAUAAUUCGUCACGUAAGCCGUUUGACGCUAGUCAGCAAAUUGUGCUCGUCCCCGAAUUCCGCGAGUCGGAAGUUGACCAGUAUUUUGAGACCUUUGAACGAAUAGCCACAGCUUUUAAGUGGCCACCGGAGGCGUGGGCGCCCUUGCUGAAGAGCAAGUUGAUUGGGAAAGCUCACGAUGUGAUGAAUAAAAUGCCUCUGAGGGAUAGCAUGACUUAGGCUACAUUAAAAGAGACUGUCCUGCGUUCAUAUAGCCUGGUUCCUGAAGCAUACACACAGCGUUUUCGGAUUCACAGAAAAGCCCCGGAAAAAAUAUUUGUGGAGUUUGCUAGUGAAAAGCAAACUCUUUUCAAGCGUUGGUUAAAGGCGAGUGAAGUCACGGAUUUUAAUUCGCUCUGUGAUUUAAUUUUGAUGGCGGAUUUUGAAAAUAGCCUAUCGGAUCGGUUGGCCACUUAUUUAAAUGAACAGAAGGUCACUAAUGUGUCCGAGGCAGCUGUGCUAGUAGAUGUGUAUGUAAUUACUCACAGGCAGCAUGUUGAUAAAAAAGAUGACUUUGAGAAACGGGACAAAAGUAAAUUGAGUUUUAAAAGCCGGUCUUGGUCAGGGCGGGGGUCAUCACCUCCUUCGGCAGAACGUCGCUGUUUUCUUUGUCAUAAAAACGAUCAUUUAAUAGCCAACUGUCCGGAGCGGAAAAAUAAAGACCGAAAGGCUGAAUCUUCUCCGAAUGGGUUAUGCACUGUGCGUUCUGAACCAGUUCGAGUAAACGAAGGUGGGGUUUCCGCUUACGAACCUUUUAUGCUUGACGGUUAUGUUUCUUUAGGCUCAGGUGAAAAGUGCUCAGUUCGCAUCCUCCGUGACACCGGAGCUGCCCAAUCUUUUAUCUUGGGUGAUGUAUUGCCUUUUAAUGAAGGGUCUUCAUGUGGCUCGAGUGUAGUGGUCCAAGGAAUUGGCAUGGAAUACAUCACUGUACCUUUACAUUGGAUAAACCUGUCAUGUGAUCUCUUGGCAGGCACAUUUUCAGUUGGGGUUCGUCCAUCAUAGCCGAUGCCAGGCGUCACUUUUCUGUUGGGGAACGACAUCGCCGGUGGUAAGGUCACACCUGUGUUGGAAGUCAUACAGAAACCUGAUGGGUCGCAACCGGAUGAAUUGGGGCAGGCUUACCCUGACGUGUUCCCGGUCUGCGUCGUCACUCGUGCACAAUCGAAAAAGCUGGAUAAUAUCGUCGAUUUAUCGAACACCUUUUUUGCGGACGGCUUAGUUGACCCCAAGAAGAGUGCGACUGCCGAGUCAGUUAAAAGGAUCAGCAUUUGAUGCAGUUUCUUUAACUAUGACUCGCAGAAAUCUGACACCAGUUUGACCAAAUAUUUUGAGGCUGUUCAGCACCCGCAUGAAUUCAAGAAUAAGGAUGCAAAGUGUUUUAUUAAGGACAGGUUGCUUUUAAGAAAAUGGAAGUCUCGUUUGGACACCGUUUUUAGUGUUGUUCAAGUAGUUGUCCUUGUACGUUACCGCCAUGCAGUGUUAUCGUUAGUUCAUGAAAAUGCAUGGGCGGGUCAUUUAGGGGUGACAAAAACUUACGAUCGUGUAUUGGGACAUUUUUUUCUGGCCAGGUUUGAAAAAGGAUGUUGUGCAGUGUUGCCGUACAUGCCACACUUGCCAAGUGGUGGGGAAGCCAAACCAGAGGCUUAAACCAGCACCCCUACAUCCUAUCCCUGCGCUGGGCGAACCAUUCGAACACAUCCUUGUCAAUUGCGUCGGCCCGCUACCUAAGACGAAGAGUGGUAAUCAAUAUUUACUCACUAUGAUGUGUGUCGCGACAAGAUAUCCUGAAGCAAUACCUCUCAGAAAAAUAACAUCACCGUCUGUAGUCAAGGCUCUGAUAAAGUUCUUUUCUACCUUUAGGCUGCCAAAAUUGGUAUAAACUGAUCAGGGUACUAAUUUCCUUUCUGGUAUUUUUGAGCAGGUUUUAACAACAUUGUCUAUCACACAUCGAACAUCUAAUGCAUAUCACCCGGAGUCACAGCGAGCGUUGGAGAGAUGGCACGGCGUACUAAAAUCAAUCUUGCAGAAGUACUGUUUUGAUAACAGUAGGGACUGGGAUGACGCUGUCCCUUUAGCUCUCUUUGCAGUCAGAGAGACUGUACAAGAAUCCCUAGGUUUCAGUCCAGCAGAGCUCGUAUUUGGUAUUUCAUCGUAAAGAUGAAAUCCUAGGUCCGGGACUGUCAAAGAAGAGAAACAUCCUCAGUUAUGUGAGCCGGUUUCGUGAGCGGCUACACAUGUAGUUUGGCCAAGGAGAGUUUGUCGGGAGCGCAGAGCAACAUGAAAAAACGGUAUGACAAGAUCGCCGUUUGUUGUUCGUUUGGGCCGGGUGACCAGGUACUGGUCUUGUUACCUGUUCCAGGUUCAUCAUUGUCUGCUCGGUUUUCAGGUCCAUAUACUGUGGAGAAAAACCUCAGUGAAACCGAUUACGCCAUCAAGACUCCCGACCGUAAGCGAAAAUCACGUGUAUGCCAUGUUAACAUGCUCAAACCAUAUCAUAACCGUACUGGGAGAGGGCCUUUAGUGGCCACAGUUGCUGUGACUGUUCCCAGUUCCGAGGAGUCCUCAACGGAGUGUGAUGACUACGGGUUGGACACCAGUAGGCUCCAGUUGCAAACUCCUCGGUUGUCUAAUACCAAAAUGUUGAGCAAUUUGUAGAGUCUGAUGACUCAUUUAAGGGCUGGUCAGAAAAAGGAUUUGGAGUCUUUGAUUUUUAAAAACACGGUGUUGUUUGGUGAUGUUCCAUCUCGAACGAACAUCUUAAAACACGAUAUUGAUGUCGGAGAUGCACGACACAUAAAACAACAUCCAUAUCGGGUUGACGCGGUUAAGAGGGCGGCCAUGAGACGGGAGACUCGAUACCUUCUCGAGCAUUAAACACCGAAAAGGUGUCGACAAUGUAUUUGCUGAUGCCCUGUACCGUUGAGGUCAGUAGCGGGGUGAUAUCUAUUUAUUUUGUUGUGGCAUCUUUGGUUUUGGGCAGUUGCCGGUUCGGUUAAUUCUCCAUAACUUUGCUACCCUUCUGAAUUUCGCUUGCAUUGGAUGGAUGGGCUAAUUUUUGGACCAAUUUUCGAUACCAAUAUGACUGAAAAAACAAAACAAAACUUGGUACAGUUGAUUAAUUAUUGACCGUAUUUAGUAACAACUUACAUACAUAGUAACAAGUAAGUACACAAUACAAACCAUGCCAAUGUGGUAAAUAUAUUCAGUAUAUAAUAUAUAUAUUUGUAGUUUUUCUGUCUUAACUGUCUUAACAUUUUUAACUGCCUUAUGGUAACUUCCUUAUCAUCAUGGAUGGAAGCCCAUAAAUUCCUCGUCAUCAUCACUGUCACUUUAACUUACAGUAACAACUGGGGUUUUUUGUGUGGUCUUGAGGUCGCUUGGCAACAUUGUUUGUUGUGAAAGCCAAGAUGGCCGCACAACGUACACAGAGUCAGCUUCAGCCGUGAUGUUGGUCUUUAUUUCUUCCUUGGGUAAGUUUUGUUCGUAAAUAUGUUUGACUGUAUUUUUUUACAUUAGACAUUGGUAGUUCAUUUUGAGCGUAACUUGUCUGUAUAGUUCGAGUAUGUAGCUAACGCUAAGUAGCAUGCUUUUUUAGUUUUACAAUGGUCUAAAUUGGGCAAUCGUCAGCAUAUCGGGCCUAUAGGUCGCAUCUGCAUUUUUGGGCAAAAAGUUAAAAAAUUGCGACCAAUACGCAAGUAUAUACUGUAGAGUCUAAUGCCCCUUUCCCACUGAAACUAGUGGGUCAACGCGCGUUUUUUCCAAGCCGAUGCAACCCACUAGCAAUUGGCAUUUGGCACCUUUCCCAUUGAAAAAAAAAAAAAAAAAAAAAGCCGUGUCUUUUUUGUUUUUACCCCCGUCUAACCCUCCCACCCCUCCUCAUCCGUGCGUAAGGUUACGUGACGUCACCACGCUAAAAUGCGCUUCGAAAAGUGCGACUAAAUAAAUUCAGUUCAAGGAAGUAAACAAUGCAGAGCAACUCCUUUCCGUUUGUGUUCUCUGUUUUCAUGCUUUUUACUGCCCUCCAAAUGGUCGAAAUGCAGCAAAGGAUCAACACUCUGCUUGUGCUGAGGCAACGUAGGCGACGUGAAUUCUUCUUCUUCAACUAGCUUUGUUGUUAGCAUCGACGUAACUACGGUUGUGGGGCGUGUUAAAUGGGAGGCGACUGGCACGUUGUUAUGACGCAUCACGUAAGAGCCUACGUCACCACGUAGAUUAGGGUGUUGACUGUUGACCCGGGGUUUUGCUUUCACACUGCAUGACAAUCAGAGCCGAGGUGAUUUUAACGCGGGUUGAUUGACACGGGUCGAGGCUGGUCGCUGCACCUUUCCCACUGCCACCAAAAGCCAAUUGUUAGUGGGUUGACACGGGUUUUUUGGCCAGUGGGAAAGGGGUAUAAUAGAAGUGUAAUUAUUAACAGGCCUUCUUGCAUACAGCUUUGUUACUUUUAUUUAAAAAAAAAAAAAAAAAGUAAAAUAGUAGAUGUUGUAAACCAAUGCAAUAAUGCCCAGAGUUAAUAACUCGGAAUAGGAAAAUGCUUACAGAGGAUACAUGCUAAAAAGUGACUUAUCAAAUUUACCCUCACCAAUAUUGAGAGGGAGUCAGACAGAGGAAAUUCAGAAAACAAAGGGAGAAAGUGCCCACAAAAACAGCUAAGAUUGAUCACUAAUUUAAAGCUUGGCAUGAGCACGAAGUGGAAUUAAAUACUCUAAUCACUCACACAUUCUCAGCCAAAGUCAAUACAUACAGUAUUACUUUCAAAGGGCUACACACAUCUAGCACCACACCAAUCCUCCUGGAAUGAAUAAGACCAUUGUAAUGUAUUUGCUCCUUUUAUCAUUAGAAGAGAAAAAUAAACAGUAAUGUGACACCAUGCGCUUAUUGGUGUAAAGCCACGCUCAUAAAUAGACAUCCAUUUCAAGUCACAAAACUAGCCGAGUAAGAUAUUUGGAGGAGCAGGUUUGUGUCUGAGUGUCUGCUGCUUUCCUACAGUUAAUUCUCCCACUCCUAAGGGCUUUUUGCAUCAUUUAAAUGGCUAUCAAAGCUUGCCUUGCUCAGCCCACUGACCACUCAAGUCGUCGUCUCAGUUUUCGAUUGUAUUAAAUUCCUUUCUUUAUUAUUUACAAUAAAAAAAUAUAUACAUUCAUAAAUCCAUUAUCUUGCAGCUAACCCCUUGAUAUACAUCAUCUGUGGUUCAUAACAAAAUUGAUGGCAGCUUUGCAACAUAAAAUAAAUCCACAAUAUAAUAGCAUAAUUGAAUUAAAAACACUUAACAUUGCAAGAACAGUCAUCCAUACUCACUCACUCACUCACUCACUCACUCACUCACUCACUCACUCACUCACUCACUCACUCACUCACUCACUCACUCACUCACUCACUCACUCACUCACUCACUCACUCACUCACUCACUCACUCACUCACUCACUCACUCACUCACUCACGUUCUUUCCAGAGCCUAGCUUAGCUUCCAACAUCCAAUAUUGCAGAAAAUUAAUGUAAAUAGUAUAGUAAUGCAUACAAUACAUAAUGUACAAAAAUUGAAGGCACAAGAUUAUAGACCGUAGUUUUUGGUCCAGCGAAUCCACUGUGUCUGAGAAUAAAAGAAAAAAAAAUCAAAGGUGUGACCGGCUCAGUGUCAAUCAAUUGCUGCGCAACUCAAGGGCAUGCUCCUGCAAACCAAGUGCUGAUCUGUUAGCUUGGGCUUUUGAGCUUUGCUGAAAUUGCAUAGCAGAAGCCUCAACCUACAUAAAGUAAAAAUAUGCCCCCUAUUUGGCAAUAACCGGGCACUAUACAAAUAGAAGUGAAGUUACACUAAAAGUAUCCAACAUUGUUAAAACUGCAAACUUUCAACUCAAACCUUUUCAGGGGUCUCUGAUCAGAUGUACAGGGGGCUCCGCCUGCAGAGAAGGCUGAGCAUCAGAGAUCCCACUUCCUCCUUGACUUGUCACUCCAACAUGCUCCUGGAGGAGAUGAGACAGAAAGAGCAAAUGAAACAAUCGCAGUGUACUAUGCGUAUAUAAAAAACAACAGAGUCAAUUCCCACUAUAAACUAAACAUGUGAAGCAGGUUUUGACCUUUAAAAGAAAGAAUGCAGACAGUACAGAGCAGGUUCCUCCUAUGUUGACGUUUAGUCAUACAAUAUAUCAAUCUUUAUAAAUCAUUUGAAGUACUCAGAAACCUGCAAAUCUUAAAUAUUUAAAAGAUACAAAAUUAAAUGAAUGACUUCAUGCAUUUGACUAGCAUAUUACACACAACCUCAGUCAACUGUCACAGGGCGCAGACGUUCACGGACCCAAUCGCAAACUAAGAUAUUAUGACGGGAAAUAUCUUUAUUGAUUCUGGAAUCCACGGUAACAGUUCCUUUAGAAAUCUAGGCAGACAGUCUUGUAAAAUUAUAUAUUUUGCUGUUACAAUUCAAGAGUUGGCGAACCUUGUUACUGUUAUGUAUUUUCUGGAAACUGUUGGGGUUUCUUGGAGAUUAUCGGCCGGUCGUCAAGGGUAGAUGAUAUAGAAAUGAAAAGAGAAUACACUAUCAUUCUAGUUGAACAAGUGGAGGCUUCAUUCUCCCAGAAAUCUCAUGUCUCCUAAUAAAUCCUAAUGAAACAGAUGAGGUGAGGAGAAGAGUCCCGUCCCCCACCCAAACUUUGGUUAUAUACCCUAGACACCUUUCUUUGUCAUUUUUACAACUAUCAUAUUUCUGUGAAAACAAUUUACGACAUAUUUAACUGUAGAAUAAUAAUUGACAACUAUCUCUGCUCAGAUACUACACUACCUGAAUCCACCAUUCACAGAUGAUAGCAUAGAGAACUUAACAAAUAGUUGCCUUUAAAGCAAAAUCUAAAAAGCAAGAGUUACAAUCUGACAAAAGAUCACAACCAAGAUGAAGCAUUUUAUACCUUAGAGAGAAGUCUUUGACUGAGGUUAGUAUGAAUGGUUGACAAACUGGUGGGCUGUGAUUGGCCAUAGAGUUAUGAGUUGAAAUUGGACAGGAAAGCGUAAUGAUUUUCCCAUUAAAUCUUGGACAGUUCAUUGCGAUCCAGGUUCCAUCUUGCGAUUGGUCUACUGCUACGUAUACCAGGUAUGAAUUAAUAUAAGAUAUGCACUUGGCUAGGAACUAAGUUCUACAGAACCAGCCUAAAGGAUAUACAAAAGUGAGAAUGCCCUCAACUCUUCAACCUGAAACAGAUUUCCUGGUUGUUCUUACAGAAUAUUUAGUACAAUAAUCUCAAACUGUCAGUGUUGCAAUGCAUGUUUGAAAUGAACCAACAAUUUCCUUAUCUGAGGAAAUACAUCAUUCAGUGAAAGAAAGGUUGACCUUGGCAUAUUUCCAUCUGUCAGUCAUUUACAACUCGUGUUCAUUUUACAUUCAAUCAGCUCUUGCCUUUGUUAUCACACUCUUAGGUCACAAAUAACCACAGCCUCUGAACAGCUUGAUGCAUGAUGAAAGGCGAUGAUGCAGCAGUGGUGGAAGAGAGAGAUUGACAGCUCGGUGCUGCUCAUUUCAUUGAAUUAAUCUGCUAUUUUUGAAAAAUCCACAGAGAAUGAAGAUGAGAGGGGAUGUGACUAAGUGAGGGCACGGGCGUUAGUGUGUGUGGGUUCAAUCUAGUUCUUGGCCUACUUUAAAGCCAAGUCAUCAUUCUGGCCUAUUGGGGCUAAAUUGCCAGCCUGUGUUUGUUGUAUUGCAAGAAUCAUGAUCAUAAAUCUCUUCCUGCCAACCCACUCACUCACUGUUUUAGUAGGAUGUGCUGCAGUGCAGGUGCAUUUCAGAAUGUCACCAAAGUCGUCUGUCUGUCCCUUCUCAACUGAGUCACUAUUGUUCCAUUGCUAUUUUCAUUUUAUCCUACCUUGACAAAGCUUGAGAUGCAUGACUGUAAAGCAUGUGCAAAUUGGAGGCAGACCGAGAAAGCACCUCUAUAAAUUCCCAUCACACAUAUACGUAACACAGUACACGCUGCGGUACAAAUGCCAAUACAGCUCUAUCACUGUCUAUAAAACAGUAGGCUCGAUGCCAGCUAGGGGGAAUAUUGUAUAUACUGUGGACAGUCCCGAUCAUAAGCAUUCACCCCCUGGAUGGUUUCUCCUUUUAUUGCAUGAAUAAAUCAAUCAGGGUCAAAACAAUUUGGCACUUUUAAUACAAAGAUUUCUUGGGGAAAAAAACGUUUCAUGUGAAAGUGAUAACAGAUUUCUCCAGAGUAAUGUCAAUAAAAUAAAAAUUAUUAAAUGACAACAAUUAUUUAAAUAAUUAUUCACCUGUUUCAAGUCAGUAUUUCAGAGAUGCACCUUUGGCUGCAAUCACAGCAGUGAGUCUGUGUGGAUGGGUCUGAAUCAAUCUUGUACAUCUGCCCACUGCAGUUUUGCUCCAUUAGUCUUUACAGAACUGCUCAAGCUCUGUCAGGUUGCACGGGUAUGGGGCGUCAACAGCUUUUAUUAAAGUCCAGACACAAGUUCUUUAUAGGAUUGAGGUCUGGGCUUUGAGUCGGCCACUCCAGAACAUUUAUCUGGUUCUUUUUUGACCAUUCCUGUGCAGCUUUUGCAGUAUGCUUUGGAUCAUUGUCUUUCUGGAAAAGACCUCUUCUCCCAGGCCGUAGUUCUCUUGCAGAGUGAAGAAGAUUGUUCCCUAAGAUUUUGGUGUAUUUUGCAGAAUUCAUUCUAUGGUUUAUCUUUACAAGCCUUCAAGGUCCGGCUUCUGAGGAACAUCCCCACAACAUGAUGCAUUAACCAUCAUGCUUCACAGUGGGCAAAGUAUAUUUUUGGUGAUGUGCAGUGUUUGGUUUCCGCUAAACAUAGCGUCUUGUCUGGUGGUCAAAAAGCUCAAUUUUUGUCUGAUCAGACCUACGAAUCUUCCACUUGACCAUGGAGUCUUCCACAUGCUUUUUGGCAAAUUCUAGUCAAGAUCUAAUAUGACUUCUCUUCAACAGUUGCUUUCAACUUUACAAUAAAACUGACUGGUGAAGGUAAAUAGCCAGUAAGUUCACUAUCACAUUCUUAUUUCACAUUACUUCUAUUGGAACUUGGUGAUACCCAAAGAUGGGGUGUGUUUUUUGUGGCCUCAUCCUUCCAUCUGAGACCUCUGCACCAACAGAGCAAAAUCUUUUCCAAUACAAAGGCCUUUUUUUCUUCAUUUCAGGGAUGAAGUAACUUCUUGAAUCCAAAAGGCCUGAAGCAAGCGAACAAACUUUACAGAUCACCGGGAUGGAUAUUGCUGCAAAUGCCUUGACUGCUCAGUUCGGUGUGGUUCCAGAAGCACGUUUUCUACCUUCCCAGAAAGGGGACCUUAUAGCAUUUUCAACCUUGCUGGCUAGGAGGCAAAUUCUUUUAAGAUGGAAUUCUCCAGUCCCACCUACGCAAGCCUACUGGCUCAAAUAGAUGUUAUAUUUUCUCAAAUCGGAAAAAAAUAGACUGACACUCAGAGGAUCGGCUGAGUCCUUUGAGAACGUCUAGAACCCUUUUUUGGUAUAUGUUAAAAGCUCAGAAUGUAAUCUUUGUGUGGAUGUUUGAACUUUGCCCCAAAUAUAUGUGUGAAUAUUAGUUUUUCUUGAUCUGUGCCUUUUCCCCUUUUAAAGGGAAACAAUAAUCAUAUAUUUUUUUUUCAUAUAGUUGGGUUUUGGGGGGGUUUUGAGGUUUUUUGUUGUUGUUGUUAUUGUUUUGUUUUUUUCUGGUAAAGGAAAAUAUGCUCAAAUGUUACUUCAUUAUGUCAUGAAACUUAUGUGACCAAUAAACAAAACAAAAAAAAAGUCCACGACUGCAUAUACAGUAUAUCAGCAUUGGGUUGAUAUCGGGAUCGAAUUUUUGGAGUUGGACAGUAUCGCAAUGAAAAGUAAUUAUCGGACAACUAUAAUCAUUCACUGUAAUUUGGGAUAAUAUUAAAAAGUAUAUAAAGUAUAAUAAUAGAUUCAUUGGUAAUAACAAUGAACUUGAUGGUGUGGUAUUGAUUUUUGAUCAGCUCUACAGUACAGCA